rnacentral:lncRNA from 1 species
CUCGCAUCCACCAGUUCUAAAUGUAUGAUAAUUUUCGCAGGAUGAAUUACAAAACCUUGUGCUUCCAAAUGCAUGAAGACAACAUUUUUUUCUCACAGCAAGAGUCUCCUGCAACAGUCACCUUGGAACUGACUGACCGAGCUCUAAUUCAACAAACAACAAUUAAACCCGUAUCAGAAACCAAUAACGUAAACUUCGAUGAUGCAUGAAUUAUAAAAAUAAGAUAUUUUCAACAAAACACCUAACAAUGUGAUGGUUAUUAACGAUACUUGACAGUUGACACCAAAAAAUAGAAUGACGUAAAUCCAAGCCCCACUUUGUUAGGAUUCAAAAAUUUUGCUUCCAAAAGAUUGUACAAAUGGCUACAUAUUGUAGUGCAGGACUUACGGUCUACGAGUUCUAUGAAAAUCCUUCCAACUAAGAGCAAAGCUGACAAAGCCCACCUCUGGAAAAGGCACAAUGUCUCACGUUCCAUCAAUUUCGUCUGGAAAAGGAGCAGGCUCGUUACUAAAGCAUUCGUACCAACUAUACAC